rnacentral:lncRNA from 1 species
CUGGUUGUACACUAAUUACUUCUUGCAUCAGAAAAGACAUGAUUAAGAACCGUAAAAAUAAGCAAACAACAAUGAACCACAACAUACCUAAAUAAUGCAAAAUUUAACACAAAAAAAUAAAUUACCAGUAACAAAAAUAAAUGAAACUUGACAGGACAGUUUUAGAAGUCUGAAUGAAAUGCUCCCCUUCAUCUAUGAAGGUCACAUUAUUAGACAUACCUUGCCAACAUCUACAUCAUUCAGUCUCAGAUGGGUAUUUGUCUUGUUGACAAUCAAAUCUUAUUAUUAUACAAUGGGACUGUUGUAAGUUUUUAUAUUGUAUAAAAGAGUUACUCUGCAAAGUAAACAGCAUAAUUUAAAAUCU